rnacentral:rRNA from 1 species
AGAGUUUGAUCCUGGCUCAGAACGAACGCUGGCGGCAGGCUUAACACAUGCAAGUCGAACGCUUGGAGCAAUCCAGGAGUGGCAGACGGGUGAGUAACACGUGGGAACAUACCCUUUGGUACGGAACAACUCGGGGAAACUCGAGCUAAUACCGUAUACGGCCGAGAGGCGAAAGAUUGAUCGCCGAAGGAUUGGCCCGCGUCCGAUUAGCUAGUUGGUGAGGUAAUGGCUCACCAAGGCGACGAUCGGUAGCUGGUCUGAGAGGAUGGCCAGCCACAUUGGGACUGAGACACGGCCCAAACUCCUACGGGAGGCAGCAGUGGGGAAUAUUGGACAAUGGGCGCAAGCCUGAUCCAGCCAUGCCGCGUGAGUGAUGAAGGCCUUAGGGUUGUAAAGCUCUUUCGUCAGGGACGAUAAUGACGGUACCUGAAGAAGAAGCCCCGGCUAACUUCGUG